UGCCAGCAGCCGCGGUAAUACGAAGGGUGCUAGCGUUGUUCGGAAUUAUUGGGCGUAAAGGGCGCGUAGGCGGAAUAGUAAGUCAGGUGUGAAAUCUCGGGGCUCAACCCCGAAACUGCGCCUGAAACUGCAAUUCUAGAAUCUUGGAGAGGGAAGUGGAAUUUCUCAUGUAGGGGUAAAAUCCGUAGAGAUGAGAAGGAACACCAGAGGCGAAGGCGACUUCCUGGCCAAGUAUUGACGCUGAGGCGCGAAAGCGUGGGUAGCAAACAGGAUUAGAUA
rnacentral:rRNA from 1 species